CUACUGACCUGCAGAUCCUGCAAUAAAUUAUAAAUAUUAAAAGAACUUUCGAUAUCUAAUACCCAAAUAGUAGAAUCAUAAAUUAAAAAAUUACAAGAUGUUAUCACAUAAAUACCUUGUCCAGCAAUAACUUGCUUCUUUCUUGACUUGUUCGGAUCCAAAAAGGCAAUGUACUGAGGAUAGUUCCUCUUUCAAUGCUCAACUUCUUAUAAUAGAAGCAUUUAGCCUG
rnacentral:lncRNA from 1 species